AUCGCCUCAUCCGAUGACUCAGAGAGGAGCAGAUGGCCCGUGGGAGCCUGAGAAGGACUUUUCCCUCCUCAGUGGAGGACAGCACGGCCCCAGGCAUGGGGGCGGCAACGGCGGGGUGGAGGGCUUGCCUGGUUUUCAGCCCAGCACAUACCAGGAUGCACAAGAGGACAAGUCCUCCGGAGAGGAGCUCUCUUCUCAGUCUUCCGGCAACAGUGUGCUCUUUGGGCCUUCUGUUUCUCACACAGUGCAUCUAACAGGUUACUGUCUGCCAGGCUGCCAAACCCCAACCCUCGCCACGUCCGCAGCCACCACAUAAAGUGACUAUUAGAACUUCACACGAAGGACCUGACCCCCGGAAAUGGCCUCAUGCUAGUUUUUUCCUCAACAGUCACCAGGAAAAUGUCGGAAGGCAAAUCAAAACACACACCCUGAAAGACUUAGAACAUAACCAUCCCAUCUGGGGGGACGAGAAGCCCGCCCGGCUUAAUUUAAAAAGGAAACCCAGCAGAUGUCAUCAGUUGGCAGGGAGAUGUCUUGAAGGAAAGAAGGAGGGGAAUGAGAGGGCUGCAGGUCACAGUGCAGUUUUACCUUAACACCUGCAUCUCCUCGGGGGAGCUCUGCAUCUCAUCCUGGAGGCGACGCCAGCGCAGGCAGGCCCUCAGUUCCUGCUGCUCCCGGGCCUCGUAGGGGGUCAGCUGCUCAGACACAGACACACAUGCACAAAACACCGUCACUGUUGUGGUCCCGGUGAAAUGGCUCGCUUGGUUUCAAUGGGGGACAACGUAGCCUGCCCCCUGCUCUCCCCCUGCUUCCAUCAAACCCUAAAGGCCACCGGAGCCUCUUAGUGCCUAAAACAGCAAACCAACCGCGCAGGCUCGCUUGUGCUGCUGGCAGUGGAGCCAGCCUGCUGUUCGGCAGAGGUCACCUGGUUCACGAACCCACCCGUCCCACCAACACACACCUGGUCUGGACAGAGUGGGCUUCCCUUGUGGCCAUUUCCACUUGGAUCUGUCCUCUUUUCCUGCUUUGUCUUUCCGCACAGGAGGGAAGGCCCCACCAUCCCCCUCGGAUGUUCCCUAGCCCUCAAUAUUGCUAAGGACCGUUUCCAGCGGGGCCUGCUAAUGCAACCCAGAUGGUUCUGUGUGCACAUAACUAGAAGUGCUGCCUGGACUCACUCUGGGGGAGGGGAGGCCAUCACACUCUGCCCUACUGAGUCAGAACCAGCUGCCGUCCCUGGUGUGCUCACUGGGCCACAUGGCCUGGACCUCUGUGAGGGAGGGCGGGCAGCAGAGCACCCACCGGGGAGGGAAGACGUCUAUCCACGGUGUUUCUGGAAAUCAAACGUUCCUGAUAAUUCCUUCAGCAGAUAUUUACUGAGUCUCUGCCAGGCCCUGGGGACAACAGAGACAGGGCCUGGGGGAGCAGCCAGGGGAGGGAGCGAUGGCAGGAAAACUAACAUCAGAGAGCGGGUGACGGGAGAGGUGACGGGAGAACCCAGAUGCCCCCUUGCCCAUCAGGGCUUCCUGAGGAGGGGGUGUUGACAGCGCUGGUGCUCAGGGAAGCAGGAGUUGGCCAGGGAGGAGGGAUUUCAGGAAGAGGGGAAAGCACUUGCAAGGCACGUCGGGCCAGGCAAGGAUGUAAUGUGCUUAGAGAAUGGCAAGGCAUACGUCAGACCCAGUGCAGACGACCGUUCUGGGAGGGAGUGAGGCGCAGGGAAGCUGGCCGAGGCCGGAUGAUCCACAGACCCCAUGUGCCUGCUGUUAUGGACUAAACUGCGUCUCUGCAAAAUAUACGUGUUGAAGGCCUUACCCCGGUGUGACUGUAUUUGGAGACAGGGCCUUCAAGGAGGUCAUUAAGGUUAAGCACAGAGGAAAGGCCAUGUGAGAACGCAGAGAAAGAGCAGCUUGUGGCCGUCUGCAAGCAAGGAAGAGUGAGGGACCUCACCAAAAACCAACCCUCUUGGCACCUUGGUCUUGGACUUCCAGCCUCCAGAACCGUGAGA